CCCGCCUGCGCCAACGGACGAGCGCGUGGCGGGGCGCGAGGAGAGGGGCGGGGCGGAUCCGCUUCGCACGCGCCCCUCCCCGCGCCUCACUGACAGGUGGAGCUGUGCCCCGUCUGUCGUCACGUGACGGGGGGUGGGGAGGAGAUACCGCCUCGCGAGAGCGCUGUGACGAAGCUACCGCGGCCCCGCAGGCGUGAGGGAGGGGAGGGGGUGCGGCUGCCGGCUGCCAGCGGAGGGCUUGGCGGGGCCAUCCAGUAGGGGAGCGGGAAGGAGCUUUACGGAGCGUUUGAUGCAAGGCCAAAAGCAAACUGGGAUAUCCAGUACUACAGAUCCAGAUAAAAAGAAAAAAAUAAGAGAACCCUGAGAUAAAUCUGAGUCAUCUGAAGCGCAGCUGAGAAAACAGAGAAGUGUCUGAACUCAAAACAGCACUCCCUAGUUGCUAACACGGGGAUGAUUAACAAAGAUGGACAACAGCAUUAUAGUCACUUUGGGCAGCUGAAGCUGACCACGUAAGUGCAGCAUACCAAGUCAGGCGAGGAAGGGGCAUAAAAUUUGCCCUCUGAAAAAAAAAGAGAAGAAACACCCCUCACUUGCAGAAAGAAAAUUCUGACUGGGAAAUACCAGGGAGCUUGUAUGAAAAGCAGUAAGACAAACAGAUCUGAUCUCUUUGUGGCCCAUGUCAAAAUUCCUCUGGAUGGCAGCAAGACUGGGAUCCAACUGGAAUCACGCAGAUGCAGCUGCCAGGAAACACGAGUAACCUGUGUGCAUGACUACCUUUGUGUUUACACUUCGUGCAUCUUCCAGCAAUGCACCUCUUUUUGGGACAGGGCAGUUUUUAAGUCUGAUCCUCUCAGUGUGCUGCUGGUUGUGCACCCACACAAACGGGGGAACCAGCUGGACACAGGUCUCGCCAACUCUUUCUGAGAUGUGUUGCAGAUGGAGCACAGAGACUCUCAGACUCUAAGGUGAUAUAUGAAUCCUGAGGCAAAAGAAGACCUGAACCCAAACAAUCAACUGAGGCUUUUACCAUCUGACCAACUUCCUCUACAGUCUUACUGGAUGAUAAUGAAAAAUAAGUGGUUCAUUUCACCAAUAAUCUAAUAAUACAGAAUUUGUAUUAUAUGCAUAUGCGUACACAUGCAAAAGAUAGAAAUUUGUUUGUAUUUUUUUAGGUAAUAUUUAUGACCUAAUGACUUUUUAUGUAAUAUAUGCACUGCUUCUGUAGAUACAAAUUAUAGAUAGACAUAUGCUUUUAAAAUGUGCUAGUAUGACACUUGUAUGACAUGUCUCUCAAUGAAGAAUUAAUAUUUCUUACUUUUUUUCUCCUUUCAUUUCUCAUUGCAAUGCACAAGAAAGCAGUUUCAGCUUAUUUUGGCGGAGGUGCACUUAGAAAUGUGUAGCGUUUAUUUGCAGUACUGCUCUCACAAAAUGUUGCCAUGCUGUGGCACUUCUUUGAAGUUCUUCUCUGAAAGGUUCUUUGCAAAGGCUGUGUAGGAGGCUUUGCAACCGGGAGGUUUGGAAUUGUUUUUCUGAAAAUUAUUCUGAAAAGUCUGUCCUUUUCAAGGUCUUGGCCAGGUGCACAGCUAUUUUCCUCUUUCCAUUUCCUUUAACUCUGCAGCACAGAAUAAUAGGCCCUAUCUGAAAUUUUAUAUAUGUAAUGCAUUGCAGACUCUGCCACAUACUUCCCUUUUCAGCAGGCUUAUUGAACACCAAGGCACUUGCAGUGAUUCUUCUGUCAGCCUAACAUUCAGUCUCUCAGAGAUCAGCCAAACGUAGGGACCAGUUCUACCACCACCACGCUCAUGGUGCUUUCUUUACAUUACAUUCCCAAACGUCAAUGGAUCUCUCAUAAAUUGCUAUGAUCUGUGUCAAGAUAGAGUUCUCAGCAUGUGUCUCAUGCUCACCUGCAUCACCAAACAGCCUCACAAGGAAGGUGUCUCCAUGAAUACUGACCAGCCAGCAACAGCACUGCAGCCAGUCCCCUGAGAGAAAGCUCCCUCCAGUUUUGACCACUGCCACAGAAAGGAGAACGAGAGCCCCCAACGCACUCCAAUGCUAUUCUUCAUGGGAUCUCAGCUCAUCACGACACAGAAGAAGAAACACUAGAAACUGACUUGUAACCAGUGCUCUUCACUCAGUGUUGUCAAGCACAUGUGUCACUGGGCUGGUAGAUUAAACCUGUGUCCAUAAUGAAGAGGAGGAGCCAAGUGGUCCACCAGUAAAGAUCCCAGUCUGCUUCAGUUGGUUCCUUUCCUGAUGGAUGCCACAAAUAUCCUGCACAGAACACAGCACAGACCACGUUAAUGCAGCACACCAGGGUGGCAGUGGCACUCUUCUAAGGCUGUUCCUCCAGGAAGCUCACCAACAUCCUUGCAGGAUCAGUCUGAAGCUACGCUUUGACACUUUGCCUUUUGCAUAGAGAGGCGGCCCUAAGGUUUUUGCAUACAUUGAUACGUACAUGAAAAAGCAGAUACUUGCCCUAGUCCCAGGCACUUGCAGUAAAGAUCCAUAGAGAACUUGAAUAAUCAUAAUUUCUUAGUGCAUUAAAGAGUUCAGACUACAGAAAGAAGACAUUUCCGAGAAACAGAUUUUAUAGACUGAGCUGAACAGAUUUUUGGCAUUAUUUGUAAGCCAGUCAUUGUUAAGCCUUUGUACUUAGAAGAGCAAUUAUGACUCCUUUGGAAACAUCCUUAGUUGAACUCUUAAAAUAAUAAAAACACUCCUCCGUAAGACCACAUUAACAUAUGGUUUUCGUAAUGACAGCACAAACAAAUCACCCACUCAUCAAACACAUUUAGGAAGAAGACAGGAACAAACAGAGCAAAAAUUUUCUAAAGAUUACUUAGAGGUCCUGAUCAGUCAGGGAAAAAAAGAAAAGAAAAAAGUGAACUAAACUGAAUUCAGGUCCUGUCUAUAGGAUAUUGAAUACAGACAAAAUAUGCAACAUACAAAUAACCAAAAUCAAGAAUACCACUAAACUUUGUAAGGCAAAGUUUAUAGAUAUUAAGCUGCAAAACUGUAUUUCAAAAAAAUGUCAAGCUGUGGAUGCCUAGCUUCCUAGUUUACUUUUGAACGUUGGUGAUGCAUCAUCAGUAAGCAAGAAAGAGACAAGGUGUGUUUGCACCAGUGACCAGCUGGAAUACCUUUGCUGGACUUACCACCCCCCAGUACUUUGCAGGCAAGUCCCAGCCAAACCAUAGUCUUCACUACAUGCACUGCUUCAUCCCCAGGAGCAGCAGCAGGAACCUGCAUCCUUGAAGCACAUGUGCAUCUUCCUGGGGCUGAGCACCGGGAACAACUGGGCUACCAGCAGUGGCCAGCACAGCUCCCGUGCAGCUCCCUGUAACACCAUCGCAUAACCUCAGUGCAGAGGAAAAGGAGAGCAAACAAGAUCCACAUUCAAAAUGGAGUUUGUAGUCUGACAGACACCCGGAGUGAGCCUUCACUGUGAAACGGUUCAAAAAAUGAGCAUGAGCAAAUUCCUCUAAGGAGUGUUUUUGCCUACGUGUAGUUCUGUUGUUUUUGCUAGCUCUCUUCCACAUGAAUCUGUGUCUUGUGAAUAGAAGAAUGGAUGAGAAAACUCCAUGCACUCAUUUUGAUUCCAUUUGGGAAAGGGGCCAAGCAGAUCUUUCAUGCUUGCCACCCCCCUGGAACAGAAUCACUGAACAUCCCAAGUUGGAAAACACCCACAAGGAUCAUUGAGUCCAACCCCUGAUUCCAGAUAGGACCAGCCAAAAUCAAACCCUAUGUCUGACAGCACUGUCCAGACACUCCCUGAACUCCGGCACUGGGGGCCGUGCCCACAGCCCUGGGCAGCCCGUUCCAUGCCCACCGCCCUGUGGUGCAGCCCCUGUCCCUAACCCCCAGCUGCCCCUCCCCUGACACAGCUCCAUGCCGUUCCCUCGGGCCCUGUCGCUGUCACACAGAGCAGAGCUCAGCGCUGCCCCUCCGCUCCCUGUGAGGAGCUGCAGCCGCCAUCAGGCCUCCCCUCAGCUCCUCUGCUCUGCGCUGAGCACACCGAUGGGCCUCAGCCGCUCCUCACACACCUUGCCCUCAGAGCCUUCCCCAUCGUUGUAGCCCUCCUUUGGAUGCUCUCUAAUAGUUUUAUGUCCUUAGAUUUUGGCAUCCAAACCCACACCCAGUGCUGGAGGUGAGGCUGCACAGCACAGAGCAGAGGGGACGCCCAGCUGGGCCUGGUACACCCCAGGUAUUGGGCAAAGGGCCAACCUAUUCACUCGUUAGAACAGGUCUAAAUAAUGAGGGCUGAACCGGAGCUCCUGCUACCGUAUCCUGACUGUUGCAGAGGUCUGUAGGACUGCGCAGACGGUAGCAGCACUGGGAAAUAUGUGGUAAUAAAACUUGUGUAGAUAGAGCCAGAGUGUCUUGAGUUAAUGGUAGGAAGAGGAAUUAGGUUUCCUCCUCCAAUCCUUAGCCAAGCCAUUUUCAGAUUUAAUCAAGAUCAGCAUUUCUGCUGCUACCAACAUUUAGUUCAGAAUUACAUCCCAGUUUUCUUCAGCAGGCAACACUGCCUCUGUCUCACCAUUUGCUGAAUGCUCUUCACGGUAGUGCUUGAUCCCAUAGCUCUCACCUUCGUGUUCUGCAGAAACCACUGUCGAGUCCUUGAAAGCACCAUAAGUGCUGAAGUUGAUCAAUGCUGAGGAGUUAUGGUGGAGGGAAUGCUUCCACAAAAAUAAUAAUAAUAAUAAUAAUAAUAAUAAUAAUAAUGAAAAACAGAGGGAAAAGAUGAACAUUAUCUGCCUUUGAACAGUUUUAUCAGAGGCAAUUGCUGCUUUCAAUUUUUGUCCAUCUGUGUUACCGUUUUAUCACAUACCAACAUCUGAGUAUUGAAAAAUGAGAAAAAUUAACAGUGCUCCUGGAAACAAUGCUGUCAUAUAGUCUACUUCAUUAUUGUUGAGCUUUGAAAGGUAACUAAAUGGCAGUCGAUCCUCUGGGGAAAUUCUUGAGAAAUAAUCUUUAUUAUAAAGGAAUUAGUUAAGUUGUACUUGCUGUUGCACUGUGAAGUUAAGAAAAGUCCUGGUGAUAAAGUGCCAUAGCUCUUCAUGAGUGCCACAGGGAACGCACCUCUUAUUUGUCAGUCUCUCUCCCCACUUGCCAGGGGCCUAGAUUUUCACAAGAGAAUUACCCUUGCAAAGCAGGGGGGAUUGCAGAGCUGCUAAAGCAAGUGAGUCCUUUGGCCAUAGAAAUGUUAUUUUGAGCUCACCGUAUAGGAAGGAGACGCAACCACCCUGAGUGAGGCAGCUGGCAGUGGUCCUGUGCUCCAGAAGUCCCACAUUUGACUGUGCUGACCACACACAUUUUUUCAGUUAUCAGGAGGAAAUUCACUUAGUGUUACUUCAGCCAAGAAGAGGAACCCCAGAAGAAGCUUUAGGAGGACUCUUCAGAAGCUUGAGAUCAUCUGCUAUGGGAAUCAGCAUCAUGGAUGCAUGGACUCAGGGAUAAACUCAGACCAAGAAGAGUGAGGAAGACCCAAGAUAUCUCGGUAAAGGAAACAUUUCUGCCAUGUCCAGUCUUGGCUUCAUGAGAGAACACUGGAAGGCAGGUUUUUUUUUUUUUUUUUUACUUUUGUUGCAGCUUUUCACUGCACAACAUACUCCAAACUCUUCUUUCAACAACCUGCUAAUGUUAGGGGAAGAAAAAAAAAAGAUUGUAAUUCAUUUAGGAAUAAAAGCCAAAAAGCUUUUCGUUAUUGAUCAGGAAUUCAAUCAAGUAACAUCAUCAACAGCAAAAAAAAAAAGUAUGUGCUUAAACAUGAACAGUCCAAAGAUGUUAGUUGUCUGUCAAAACAAAUUGUCAGACAUAUUUGUGUUCUACACAGGAAUAGAUUUAUUGAAAAUCUUAAGUGGAAUGUUUGUUUCCACCAUCUACCAAAUAACGUUCUGUGGGGUUUUGUUCUGAGUACUGAGCAGCUGCAUCAGAAACUUUUUAAUUCAGGGAAGAGUGGCAGUUCCUUUUUGUCUCCUGUGUACCAGCUCUUAGGAAUUCCAGGAAAACUCUAUAAUCCCCAGCUCUCUCUGGCAUGCCACCACCUGAUCAUCACGAUCGCAAACAUUUGUAAUAAAAAUCAGUUAAUAUGCAAGCCACUAUUUUAUAUGCUAUCUUCAAUCCCAGAGAUGGUUUAAGAAGUACCUUCAUGUAGAACCUAUGUUUUUUUUUAUUCUUUUUGUGUCUGUUAAGGCUGGUAUAAUCACGAGGUUAAUUAGAAUCUUAAAUGCUUAGUUCCCAUGUUAAGAGAUUUGUCUCUAUUUAAAAAAAAAAACAAAAACAACUUCACAACAAGGGAAAAUGUAGGGUUUUUUUAAUUAUAAUUGGCCAUUUUGAAGAAAAUGUCUUGUAUAUUGGAAGCACGAGAGCCCAAAUGAGAGCCUAUAAACAUUUUAAAUAGGAAGUUUCCAAUUUUAUUAUUUAUAACACUUGAACUCCUUUACUUUCAAGACGUUCAUAUUACCACAAAGCUCCUGAAGCCAUACUUAUCAGGCCAUCUACUAUUAUGUUAUUAGUAUAAAGAUUGUACAGAACUGCACACAAUAAAAAACUAAUAAAAAACAGUAAAAUAACACUGUGUGGCUUCUCUUCAAACAUCAUUAGCACUCAACUUUGCGUUGAAGGGAG
rnacentral:lncRNA from 1 species